rnacentral:rRNA from 1 species
UACGGGGGGGGCAAGCGUUGUUCGGAAUUACUGGGCGUAAAGGGCUCGUAGGUGGCCAACUAAGUCAGACGUGAAAUCCCUCGGCUUAACCGGGGAACUGCGUCUGAUACUGGAUGGCUUGAGUUCGGGAGAGGGAUGUGGAAUUCCAGGUGUAGCGGUGAAAUGCGUAGAUAUCUGGAGGAACACCGGUGGCGAAGGCGGCAUCCUGGACCGAGUACUGACGCUGAGGAGCGAAAGCCAGGGAGCAAAGCGGG